CAGCAUUGAAAUUCUUUGCUUCUUCUUUCUUCAUCUUCCGUUCCCCAAUAGCUGCACUUCCAGAUCGUUGCCGUUCUUUACUUAUUUCCAAUCUAUAUAUAGUGCUUCUAAUAUUUUCAUCACACACAAUAACCAAAUCCGAAGAAUAAUCUCACACUUUUAAGUCCUCAAGAACCCUAGAAGUUCAAAGUUUCACUCUCAAUGGAAUCUUACGCCUCUUCCUCUUCAGCCUCCACCACCACAUACUUGUCCCAAACCAUACAACCAACAAAGGGUUCAAUUUCAACCUCAAAGCAGCUUCCCAAUCACCAGUCAUCACUCCACUCGGUUCGAAAAUCUUCGUCGAAGCCAUGGAAGAAACCUGCUGUUGCACCACUUCCACCAACCCUACCAAGAAUCUACAAAGUUGACCCCAUUAACUUCAGGGAGCUUGUCCAGAUCCUAACCAGCGCGCCAGAGUUUAUGGAGACUCGGUCUCUCCAGAGCGUAGCUCCUCCACCGAUCGAUAUCCCUGUGUCUUCUGUACCAAACCAUGUCCCUUCUUCUUCACAAAAAAUUAGCUCACCAUUUUCGGUUAUGUACAAGGAAUUGUCGGAUACAUUGGAGCUGAGUCCGAUGCCUCGCCAACAGAACGUGCAUGAUAGCACGGUGGACUCGAGUUACCUGAGACUGAAUUUGCAGUCCCCGUCUUCCCAUCAUUGGUUUUCUUUCCCUAUGCUCAGCCCAGGGACUUUGUCCAGUAUCGAACGACCCGAAGUUCUUUAGGACUACUUCAAUCACAAAGCUAUAUUUAUGUGAGCCCAAUUUCUUAAAAUUGUGGCCUUUUUUUUUUAUAACUUUUAAAUCCUAAUUUUGUUUUAAAUUUUAGCAUUCUAGCUUAUUAAGAACACAGCUAUAGGUUGUAUGUAAUAAUGUAAGCAGCAAUGCAUAGAAUCAUGUACACAAGUUUGACUGCAAUGCUAGCUAGCUAGCUAGUUCAGAAGUCUUUUAAUGUGAACGUAAAGUUAUGAAUCAAUGGAAUAAUGCCAGAUAAAGUGAUAUCUUAAUAACUCUAAAUAUUACAAUAUUGGCUGAUCGGGUCCUCACCGAAUUUUACUACUGCAGAUUGAUAAUAACAAUGGCCGGAGAUUUACCAUCAAAAUCAGGUGGCUGAAAACGAGAAUGAGGUCGGUAUAAUUAUGUACAAAACUUGGUCGUAUCACCCUCGACUGGCAUUUUUGCGAUGAGGAUUAGAAAGUUUUAGAGAGAGGGCGACCUAAUAAUGGGUCUAAGCACCGAUACUAUCAUAACUUAACCAAGUACAAGCUCAACAUAUGUGAAGUUAAGGUCUGGAUGCUUAUUUGGAAAUUGAAUGUGAUAUUUCACCCUAACUUUGUCUCUUACCAUGAUAAAAUGGGGGAGAAAAAUUUUAGGUGUGUUCAUACAUUGCAAGCUUUUUACCCAUGAUAGAUUUCACUUGUUCUUGUCAAGAUUUGUUGUUUUGCAGGAUCCGUUCCUUCGUUCAUCUCUUGAGUAUGGGUAAGUAAAAUUAGUUUUAGGCUUGGGGUAUUUUGUCAAGGAAAGCCAAAGGGGGAGAUUGUGAACUCUAGAAUUUUAGUUUUGGUUUUCCUUGUCAAUAAUGUAAUAUGUACCACACAUGCUCAGGUUAGUAUUAGGACAUACUUUGCACUAAGGGCCGCCAUUGUUGGAAAUAUUCACUCAAGGGUUUGACUUCUCACAUCAAUGGUUUAUUCAUGCAUAUGCAUUCCAUGCUUAUAUUUCCAAUUCAUUCUGUCUAGUAGUUCUGUCUUGUCAAAACUUCUCGUUGCUUUCCAGUUUGCUCGGCGGGCACACACUUUAAGAUAACUCACAUGGGUUGAUUGACAUCUUUUUCUGAGUGUGGUUUUCUAACCCUUGAUAUGAAACAAUUGCUUUGGCUUUGACACGUGUCUCCUUACUCCCUUUAUUUGAAAUAUACAUGCCUCUCUUUAAAAGGGCAGCUAGGGCUCAUUUGGUUUUUGGGGGGCUAAGAUUGGAAAGUUUUUUAGAGCUUUAUUUUUCAUCUUCAUCUCAGAUCUCUUAGGAGCAUCAAGCAUAUUUUAUGGUUAAUGUUCUUCAUCGAAUAUUUCUAAAUCUAUCUUUGAAAUUGCUUGCUUAAAUUUGUUUUAUAUGCUCAUUUGUUUUGGCUAGGAGUUUUACAUUUUCAAAAAAGUGUUGUUUUAGCUUUGAGCUACCUCUUUGAGUUCCUUAUCAGAAACCCUAGCCACAAAAUCACACUCAUGCACUAAACACCUAAACCGUUGCAUAUUAGGGUAGCAUUGUCAUUGUGAUUUGUUUUAAGUUUAUGGUCAAGUCUUUCAAGUUUUAAACUGACCUUUUUUUGGAUUCGCUUUAGUUUCAUUUUUCAAGUGUUUGACUGGUGAAACUGACUAGACAUUUUAAUCCAAAUCUGCAUAUGAUUUUCAUAUCAUCAUAUGCAUAGUUUGUGUGUUGGUCUUGGUGCCACAAUGUGAAAAGUUCAGAAGGAGUUGCCAUCUUGUGAAGACUGGAGACGACAUCAUUUCGGUGCCACAAGGUGAAGAGCUCAGGAGAAGCUGUCACUUCAUGAAGACCAAAAUCUGUCUCGUGUAAGGUAAGGUUGCAUAAAGGUAAAGCUGCUCUAUAGAUUAGGUCUAGCAAUUAAGCUAUGCUGGUACUUUGUAAGAAUCUUAUUUACAUUAGUGAAUUGGACUCAGUGGAGAGUCCCCGAUUUUUUAACCUAGAGGUGAAUUUUUUCGGCCAAAAACUUCUUGCGUUCUUUGUCUCUUAAGUUUGUCCACAUAUCUUAUUUACUUUCAUAUGUUUCAUGCAUCUUAUGAAUUGUUAUUUGAUGUGUUAGAGAUUAAGUUUACACUACAUAUUAUGAGCAAUGAACUAAAUUGUUGUUGACUAUGAUAACUUGUAGUGAACUAAGUUUAAUUCAUAGAUUUCUGUUUGAUUAACUGACGAAUAUGUACUUAGUUGACUGGUAAGCUUGACUAGUCAAUCCAGCAUACUUUAAUUCAUAAUUGCUUUGUCAUUGCUAUUUGCAUACUGGUAUGUAAACGUGUUCAAGUUUAUGAAGUAUUGUUGUGAAACUAAUCUGGCAUACUCUGAUUAGUUGGACAUAUUGGUCAGUUAGGUUUUGUUCUUGCAACCACACUUUAUAUCACUGACCAACUUGUAAUUAGUUGACUAGCUCAUUUGACUAGUCUACUGUGCAAAGUUAAUUUUUCUUUGCAGGAUAUUCCGCCUAGUACCCAAUUUCACAUCUUUUACACUUAAAUUAGUAUAACUUGAAUUAGGACCACGAAUAGAAAAACCCCAAAGUCAAAUCUUGAGUUAAGGACAACUGCAGCCCCAAAGUUCGAAGUCCCAAGUUGUGUCCUUGAAAUAUUUAAAGGUUACAUGAUAUGGUGUUGCCUUCACAUGUGGCUCACUAAUUAAAAAGUGAUCUCAGGUAAGGGUUACAUUGAAGCAUAUGUUACACGUCGAAAACCUCAUGAAGUUAAAUCCCCCUUAUAUUGAAUGAUUCCCCUACUCAGUGCACUAAGGCCUUUAUAUUAAACCUCACACUAUAGUAAAGUUAGGGGCAUUAUCGAUAUUGAUUAAUAAUGGUUCAUUCAACCAUCUUUGAAACUUUAAAGAAUUGCUACUUUAAUUAUUUAUGUUUGUGAUAUGGUGGUUACAUGGGGUCAUCAUGGUCACGAGGUAUUAAAAUGGUUUUCAAUAAUACCUUGCAACUAAGUUUGAAAUGAAAGAGUUGGGAAGUAUUUUCUUGGAAUAUAAGUUGCUAGAUUAAAGUAUGCCUUCUUUCUAUCUCAAAAAGGAAAAACAAAUUGGGUCUCAUGACUGAAUAAUAUGCUAUGUACGUUGGAUUGUAUUCUAUUGAGUAUUGACACUCUCAUAUAGCAAGUUCCACUUGUAUCCAAAUCGAGUCUCUGCCAAUGCGGAGAGAUCCUAGGCUUGUGGAAUGAUUGUAUUUGUCUCAUAUGCAACACCACAAUUUAUGGAGUUAAUGUAGUGAGUCAGUUUAUGCAUGCUUUGAAUGUGUUGAGGUAGUUGAAAUAUGGUCCUAGUAAAAGAUUGAUGUUUUCUAAUCAUUUAUAUGGGAACGAACACACGUGAUGCAAUAUCAAUUAUUGACAUAGUUUGUAUUGUCAUAUAUCGGAGUUGAAGCUUAAAAAGCCAGUUUGUAUGAUGAUAAUAAGGUUAUAAUUGAUAGUGCAAUGAAUCUGAUUUAACAUUAUUGCAAGCUGAAUUGGCCUUUCUUUUUUGAAGACUUGAGAGUAAAUGGAUGAUGUACUUACUAAGAUAGCCUCAAGUAGAGUGUUUUACAUCUCGCUUGACAGGUUGGAUAUGCGUGAUAAUUUUGCACCAAGUUGAAGAUGGUUGUUGUUCGUACAAGUUUCCUUCAUAUUUAAAAUUGUACUUAUAUCCUAAAGUUUGAUUAAGAUUAAAGUAUAUAUAAUUACCUCUCUCAAUGUAAGAUUGUAUAUAUACCACUACUUUAGAGACAUAUCAUAUUAGAUCUAUUGAGCAUUGCCUUUACCAUUCUCUUCAGUUCUUUUCAUUGUUAUGUUAAUCUCUUAAUAGUCUUUCCCACCCGUUAUCAUCAAUUAAAUAGAAACAAUAGCAAAAAUAGAAUUUAGAGAGAGAGAGAGAGAGAGAGGGAGAGAGAGAGAGAGGAGACAAACAAAUUUACUCGAACCCAAAGCUAUGGAGAUCAGUCUCAUAAAGCCGGACUAGAAGGGUGCAGUGGUGGAGGGAUCUUUUGGGUUUUAGAGGGAUAUGGAGAGAGUGGGACAGACGGAGAAAAAGAGAGAUGAAGAUGCUUCUAAACUAAGUAAAAAAUAAAAUUAAUAAUAAAAUGAUAUUGUUUUUUAUUAUUUAUUCAUUUAUCUAGAAAAAAAAUUAAUACCAAUUGAUCGGGCAAUUUAUUUAACAGGAUGCACUUGGACAAUUACUAUUGACUAAGCUAGUAAUUGUCUAUUGCCCAAUUGUUUAGGCAAUUAUUAUCCGAAGGAGUAGAACUGCUCUUAUGUGUAGUGUUUAAAAUUUCUUCGACAUGGUUGAUAUUUGUAUGGAAAUAUCCAAAAAACUAAAUAAAGAUAUGAAACUAAGGGUGAGGUCUAAACUUCACCUCAUAUCAGAGAAACAAGUUCAGGAUAAAAUCAACAUAGACACAUAUUGACACACCCCGACCUAGAUCGAGGCAUGCUAGCCGUCACGUGGGAGUGACGUAACAAUGUGCACAGUGCAGAAGCAAUAAAGAUAUAAGGGGAAAAUGCAAAGGAAUAAAAACCAAAUUACUAGCAGAACUAGCUAAGAUAAAGUGCUAAUGCGAGAUUAAAUGUGAAAUACACAACCAAAACAUAAAUAUCUUAGAUGCAGUCAAGCAGGACAAGUACUAAUUAUACAACACCCAAAGGGGUGAUCCUACAUUUAUGAUGUUUUGUCAGAACCCCCGUCGAAAUCCUCAUCAUCCACCAAAGCACUUCUACCUAAAACAUGGAGGGGCACAAAACAGAAAGUGUGAGUGGGCAAAAACAAAGCUUUUCAAAAUCAUUUCAUUUCUCAAAAGUUCUAACCACUCGCCGUAAAACCUGUAUAAUUUUCCCAGAAAUAUAAUAUAUGCUAUAUCAGAAAUCAUGCUUAGGAUGAAAAUCCAUAGAAAUAUAUCAUGCCAAAGUAUCACAAUGAAAUGCCAAAGUAAUCCAGUAAAAAUAUAACAAUGCCAGACAUCAUAUCAGCCAGAUCCACCUGACGUGACCUGCAUGGCUGAAUCUAUAACUCAUAACCAAUCUCAAUCGUAUCAAAUCAAAAAAAAUCUUGCAUACGAGUCAGAACCACCUAAAGUGGUCUGUACGACAAGACUAGGUGUAAAAUAAAUAUGUUCUAGUGCUACGAUCACGUGCAGACUGUGCGAAUAAUCGCGGGUCACCUACGAGUCGGAACCACCUAAAGUGGUAUGUACGAUAAGCCUGUGCACCUAACUUGGAUCCAAGGUGAGCAUAUGGUGCGGGAGGUGAACAUCAUGUGAAAGACUGUGCCCUAACUCUGGGCGGGAGCACUAACACCGGGGUGCAGGUUUAUGAGCUCUCAAUACAUCACAUCAUAUCUCACAUAACUGAAGCAAUCUCAUACCUUUAAUUAUGAACUUACCUGGCACUUACCUGUAUGUUCGCAGCACCAAUCAUAAUUAUAUGUAACUACUAAUGCAUAAUGAAAUAGACAUAUACUUUGCAUGGCAUUUCAAAAACCUAUAAUCAUUCAAAUUCAUUUUCUGGGAAAAAUCUCUCGUAUAUAGGUAUAUACGGUAAACCAAAAGCCCAUUCACUAAUAUGUCGAAGGGUCGUAGCCCUCGAGCCUUGAUUGAUGGCACUCAUCCUCGGGAUAGGUCUCACCUAUAUGCGAAAUAACUGAAUAAACGUUAUUUAAAGCACAUUCACAAAACUAAGAAAUAACUUCUCAUACAUUGCUCAAAUGGGAUAUUUGAAUAUACCAUCAUGAUUUACUCAACCUCAGGAACAUCCUAAUAUUUUUAGAAAAAAAUUUCGUGACCCCACGCGCUCUCACGCGCCGGCCAAGGCACGGCCAGAUGCAUGGCUCACGCGCAGGCAUGUGCCUGGCACACCAAACGGAUUCCCUAAUGCCGUUAGGGAAUAUUCCGUUAAAAAGUAGCAUAUGCCGUUAAAGUUACCUGACGGCGUUAGAAUAUUCCUUCAACUUUGAUGGAAUAUUCUUCUCCUUCUUCCUUGGUUCGCCGGAGUCUAGCGCUGGUCACCGCUGCGAUCGCCAAAAACUGGGAAAAUUUAAAACUUCAAUAUCUUCUUCAUUUCUUAACCAAAAUCAUGAAAUUUGAAUCAAAUUGAAGCUUAAGAUGAGAAGAACAUAUUCAUACCACUUUCAAGCCCUAAAAUCCACGGAAUCUCACUGGAGAACCAUCGAUAAUCCAACCAAAAUUUGAAACUCACGAACUGGGAAUUCCCGACGUCCAAAACACUCCAACUUUCUUCCGCGAGCUUCAUGAAGAUGAUUUAAGGCUUCCUAUAACCUUAAACUCCUUGAAAACUUGAAAAUCACGAGUUCAUGAACAGUACACAAAAUCGGGGUUCUUGGGUUCUUGGGUUUUCGAAGGUUUCACGUCCAACCAAAGGUAUAGAUGAGUUCCUGGACUUGCAAGGAACACAAAGAUAGCUUCCAAAACCUCGAUCCGUGACUAGAAGUAAAGGUUCAAAGGUUGUCCGUACGGUUGUACGGAAAUGGAAGGAAAUCUGAGAUAGGGAGGAGAGAGAAAGUCAACGGGAGUUUGGAUGUGUGAGUGUGAGUGUGUGAUCCAGUUUUGGGUCACUAAUCACAACCAAAACCAUCAACUUUAAGUUCCAAAAAUUUAGGAACUAACUAAAUUAGUUUAAAACCCAAACUCAAGCCAUAACACCACAUAACGUACUCGACGUCCAAGGGCAAAUUAGUCAUUUCACGCCAUCGAUAACAAUAAUUUGGGACGGGCUAUGACACAUAUGCUAAAUAUCAGAUAAACUUUUAUAUUUCAUUCAAAUCAAUGUUGGAUAAUCCCUAAAGUUUCAUUUUAAAUUUUCAUCAUUUCCAGGGUUAGCCUUGGCCCAGUGCAGGUUGGGCCACCGUCCAGGCAAAAAAAUUGGGGGCACCAGAAUUAUAAGGGUGAUAUAUUUAUAUAUGUUUUCAUAAGUGUAUAAAUUUAGAAAAUUUGGCUAAAUGAUUAAAAUGUUUAACUAGAACUAGUGUUUUCAUGUGUGUUUACUUUUCAAUUUUUACGAAUUUAUUUUCAUAAGAGUAUAAAUUUAUAAAUUUCGUUAAAUGAUAAAAAAGUUUAACCAUAAGUGGUGCUUUAUGCUGUUUAAAAUUAACGAGGAAGUUCGGGUUCAAAACACUAUGCGUGUUUUUUUUUUCAAUUUUUACAAAUUUCAUUUUAUAAGAAUUUAAUUUAUAAAAUUUGGUUAAUUGAGAAGAUUAAUCAGAAGAAUAAUUUUUGUUGCUUAAAAUUAAUGAGAGGUCUUGAGUUCGAAAUUCUAUGUGCAUAUUAAUUUCUUUUUAAUUACUAGCUAAUAGCUAUAUGCGUUGCAGUAAAUAUUCAUUCCAAUUUAAGUCCAAUCUUCAACAAAGUGUGUAGACAAAAAUUUUGGACCAAAUUUGCAAAAUUCUAUGAGCAUGUUUAUUUUUUUUCAAUUUUUUGAAUUUCUAUUUGGUUGUUAAUUUCUUUUUAAUUACUAGUGAAUAGUUACGUGGGUUGCAGUUUUUAAACAUUCAUUCCAAUUUAAGUCUAAUCUUCAACAAAGAGUAAUGUGUAGACAAAAAUUUUGGACCAAAUUUGCAAAUCAUAUGACGUGUCACCAAUAUGUUUAAUUUAGUGCAAUUAAGACUCAAAAAUAUGAUUAAGUUCCAUAUUGACAAGAUUAGUAAAUAAGAAAAAACACAUCACGAUUUGUAUAAAAACUUUAAAAUUUAGAUAUAAUUGAAACAAAACCAUCAUCUAUCUAAUUGUAAAUGGUUCCCUUCUCUCAAUACAAAAAAAAUUAGUUUUUCCGUGUUUGUAAUUAUUGAGUUUGAAGUUUUUUUUUUAAGUACAAUUUUAUCGAAGUCUUACGUGUGAAAACAAAUAAUUUUUCUUAUAUGAAGUUAGGGUACUUUUUGUCAUCGUCCCGUGCCUCAAAAAUUUCAGGAUGGAUUCUGAUUAUUUUCAUCGAAAGCAAUCAAUAUCAAUAUUUGAUAUAUUCGUCAGUAUUUUCACAAAUUUAUAUAUUGAUAUUUUCAUUGAUUUCGAUUUCUUAAACACAUCCAACCUAAUAUAAUAUGUUGAAAAACAAGCCAAUAGAAGGCUAAGGCCAAUGUUCAGGUGCUGACCACCAGCAAUGCAACGCAUAUGGCUUGGUGAUUGAACCACCCAACCAUCAUAUUUUAUUUAUUAAUUCACACCACUCACCAUCUUACAUACAUACAAUGGGAAGGGAUCAUCCGGAUCCUUUCCUACAAAUUCACCAAAUCAGAUAAUCCGUAUCAUUAAAAUUUGAUCCAACGGUUAAAGUUGUUAUAACUUUUAAAGUGACAUCCUGUUUGUAGCCGUUAGAUCAAAUUUCAAUAACAUAAAUUUCUUGAUUUGAUGGAUUAAGAGAAAGGAAUCCGGAAAGGGUCCCUUUCCACAUACAAUGGCCAAAACAUAUAUAAAAAGAAUCACAGAACAGGGACAAACACCAAUAAUGGAGAAUAAUAAAAUAUAUUACUCUUACAUAUCAUCUGAUUUGUUACUCUAGUUCAAAUUGAUUCUUAAUUUCUUUUUUAGUAAAUUAAUACUUUGAAUUAUUUAAAAUUAGUUAAUUAACCCAUCACUGUAAGAUUCAAUAAAAUUUCAUCUAUUUGACAUCAAAUAUUGAAACGCGACUAACACAUAAUUCAAUUUUAAGGGUAAACUCGUGUCAGUAUUUAACAGUAUGUAAAGUGGAUGAAAUUUCAUCAAAUCAUACAAUGAAGGGUUAACUAGCUGAUUUCAAAUAGUUCAGAUGAGUUAAUUUACUAAAAACAUAAUUUAGAGGGUCAAUUUCAACUGAGGAGUUAUUCAUGGGGGCAGUUUAAUAAUUGUAACAUAAAAGCCCAGGACCACAUUGCAAUGUUUUGGACCACGAUAGUUUACUGAAAACAUAAUUUAAAAAAUAUAAUUUAAGGGGUCAAUUUCAUUCGAUCGUCACGGCCGACGGCUCAAAGACAAAAUUAAUAAUUCUUCUUCUUCUUCUUCUUCUUCCUCUUCUCAAACGGCUUCACUUCUAGGUCGUUGCCCUUUUUUACUCACUUCCCAAUCCUAAAUACAACCAACCACCGCUUCCAUUCCCUUCACUUUUCAAAUCCCACAUAACAAUCCCAUUCUCUAGUUCCUCCAAACCGCAGACUUCCAAUCCAAGUCCCAUGGAAUCCUAUUCCUCUUCCUCCACAACCUCCUCCACCACCACAUACUUGUCCCAAACCACGCAACCCACAAAG
rnacentral:lncRNA from 1 species